UACGUAGGGUGCGAGCGUUAAUCGGAAUUACUGGGCGUAAAGCGUGCGCAGGCGGUUCGCCCAGUCAGGUGUGAAAUCCCCGGGCUUAACCUGGGAAUUGCGCUUGAAACUAGCGGGCUUGAGUGUGGCAGAGGGGGGUGGAAUUCCACGUGUAGCAGUGAAAUGCGUAGAUAUCAGGAGGAACACCGGCGGUGUAGACGGCUUUCUGGACCGUAGCUGACGCUGAGACACGAAAGCGUGGGUAGCAAACAGG
rnacentral:rRNA from 1 species